UUGCACCAUUAGUUAAAAGCUUCGACUCUAAAUGCUUUGUUUUCAAGUAUUACCACUUGACACAUAAGCACCACAAGCAUUUAAUUAGAGGACUCUUUAAGCUCAUUUAUUUCUUUUCUUUACUUUCCUUCUAAUCAUUGGUGCUUAGAGCCUUGAACUUUGAGGGAGUACUUUGCACUUGAGCCUAAUCUUGACUCUAAGUGUUUUGUUUUCAAGCUUUUUGCUUGAUACAUAAACACCACAAGUACUUGACUAAUAAAUUGUCAUUGGUACUCAGAGCCUUCAACUUUCUCAUUUUUCCCUUUUUCUUUCUUAAUAUUUUAAUUGCUUUUCUUGUUCAAGGUUUUCAAUGUUUCAAACAUUUCAUAAAAUGUUCUAGAUGAAAACUUUAAUUAAACAAAUUCAAAUGCAAUUGAGCAACAAUAGUCAUGCUAGCCUUCCAAUACUUAUAUGCUCAUGCUAGAUUCUUCUAUAAUUACCUUGUUUGUUUAUGAUCAUGAUACUUAAUUACUUUGACUCACAAAAUUCAAGAUGGUAGUAAUGGUGUCAUAGCAACAUGUUACAAUUCAAAUAUCAAGCUAUUCUUUUCCAAAAAGAAGAACACACAUGCAUAUAAAAGAAAUGGAAGACAAUCAUGCAAUUGAAAGUAUAGAAGAUAAAUAAGAGGAAAAGGAACUUAACCACCUUAUAGAUCUUCAACUUUGUUAUUGUCAUUUUCCUCCUACUCCUUCCUUCCCCAACACCAAACUUAGAAUGAUUGCUUAUCCUCAAGCAACAAAUAAAAUAGUGGUGAUGGAAUUUAUGAUUAAUCAUGAAUGUCUUCAAGAAGAGAUGUAAGUAAUGCAUGUGUUUAAGCAAGCAAAAAUUAAAGAUGACAAUCAAGGCACAAAGAAAAGAGACAAUAUGAUUGCAUUAAUAAGUGAGUUGUGCAUGGUACUAUGCAUGAAAGGUAAGUGGCAACACCAAACUUAGUGUGACACUUUCAUUUUAGAAUGAUGCAAGUACCCACUAAAGAUUGAAGAUCAAAUUGUUGCAUGCAACACCAAACUUAGAAUGUAAUCAUAUGCCAAAUUAUUAAAAGUAAACUAAGCAAGAAAGAAAAUGUUACCAACGGUUGGGUUGCCUCCCAACAAGCACUCUUUUAAUGUCAUUAGCUUGACAUGUGGUUCUUAAUUUUCUUCCUCUUCUUCCAAUUGGUUAAAAGAAAUGACUUCAAGGGAGAAGAAGAGAAAAUUGAUGCCCCUUGAUUUAAUUACCUCCUAACAAGCCUUCUUUUGUUGUUAUUAGCUUGAUUCCUCUUGCUUGUUGGGGUGGGGGUAAGAUUACUUUUUAUUGACCUUAUCUUUUUCAUGGAUGUUGUCUUUUGUUUCUUGGUCACAAUCCUUCUUUGAUUGCUUUUAUUGAUUGCCUUCACUUCCUUGAUUGCAAGACUUAGGUGUUGUGUGAUGGUUGGAGUGUCCUCUUCAUCAAGAACCUCUUGGAUUGAUGGUUCAAUUAAAUCAUCCUCCAUAUAACUCUCCACUUCCUUGGAGUGUAGACUCCCUUGGUUGUUUUUCUCCCUUACAACCUCCUUCUUCAUUAGAAUUUUACUUGGUAUAGGGGCCUCUUUUUCUUGCUCUUCCAAUUCCUCCUUUACACCCACAAAUUGCUUUAUUAGCUCUUUAUGGA